CAGUCGCCGCGGUAAUACGAAGGGGGCUAGCGUUGCUCGGAAUUACUGGGCGUAAAGGGCGCGUAGGCGGACAGUUAAGUCGGGGGUGAAAGCCCGGGGCUCAACCUCGGAAUUGCCUUCGAUACUGGCUGUCUUGAGUACGGGAGAGGUGUGUGGAACUCCGAGUGUAGAGGUGAAAUUCGUAGAUAUUCGGAAGAACACCAGUGGCGAAGGCGGCUCACUGGCUCGGUACUGACGCUGAGGUGCGAAAGCGUGGGGAGCAAACAGGAUUAGAUACCCGUGUAGUCCCUGUCUCUUAUAC
rnacentral:rRNA from 1 species